GCUUGUCUCAAAGAUUAAGCCAUGCAUGUCUAAGUAUAAGCCUUUGUACGGCGAAACUGCGAAUGGCUCAUUAAAACAGUUAUAGUUUAUUCGAUAAUCAAUUGCUACAUGGAUAACUGUAGUAAUUCUAGAGCUAAUACAUGCGCCCAAACCCAACUUCUUGGAAGGGUUGUGUUUAUUAGAUACAGAACCAACCCAGGCUCCGCCUGGCCUUGAGGUGAUUCACAAUAACCGAACGAAUCGCAUAGCUGCCGCUGGCGAUAGACCAUUCAAGUUUCUGACCUAUCAGCUAUCGUCGGUAGGGUAUUGGCCUACCGUGGCAAUGACGGGUAACGGAGAAUUAGGGUUCGAUUCCGGAGAGGGAGCCUGAGAAACGGCUACCACAUCUAAGGAAGGCAGCAGG
rnacentral:rRNA from 1 species